rnacentral:rRNA from 1 species
AACGAACGCUGGCGGCAGGCCUAACACAUGCAAGUCGAGCGAGGACUCCGGUUCUAGCGGCGGACGGGUGAGUAACGCGGGGGAAUGUGCCCUUCUCUACGGAAUAGCCCUGGGAAACUGGGAGUAAUACCGUAUACGCCCUAUUGGGGAAAGAUUUAUCGGAGAAGGAUCAGCCCGCGUUGGAUUAGGUAGUUGGUGGGGUAAUGGCCUACCAAGCCGACGAUCCAUAGCUGGGUAGGGAGGCAGAUCCGCCACACUGGGAGUGGGACACGGCCCGGACUCCUACGGGAGGCAGCAGUGGGGAAUCUUAGACAACGGGGGCAACCAUGAAGGAGCCAUGCUGCGUGAGUGAUGAAGGCCUGAGAGUAGAAAAGCUCUUUCAGCUGGGAAGGUAAUGACGGUACCAGCAGAAGAAGCCCCGGCUAACUCCGUG